AUUCAAAUGGCAGUUCCACCAGAAAUGGAGCAUCCCAGGAAGGCUUUUGGAUGGACAGCUAGAGACACAUCUGGGGUUCUCUCCCCUUUCAAGUUCUCAAGAAGGGAAACAGGAGAGAAAGAUGUAGCAUUCAAAGUAUUGUACUGUGCUAUAUGUCACUCGGACCCUCAUAUGUUGAAGAACGAAUGGGGCAUUUCCACUUAUCCCCUCCCCUAGUACCCGGGCACGAGAUUGCAGGUGAAGUAACAGAGGUAGGAAGCAAGGUACGGAACUUCAAAGUAGGAGACAAGGUGGGUGUGGGAUGCAUGGUUCUAUCCUGUCGCUCAUGCCAAAGCUGUGAAGACAAUCUUGAGAAUUACUGUCCAAAAAUGAU